CCCGGAUAGCUCAGUCGGUAGAGCAGGGGAUUGAAAAUCCCCGUGUCCUUGGUUCGNCGGCUCACCCCUUCGGGGCCA
rnacentral:tRNA from 1 species